rnacentral:rRNA from 1 species
GAUGAACGCUGGCGGCGUGCCUAAUACAUGCAAGUCGAGCGAACAGACGAGGAGCUUGCUCCUCUGACGUUAGCGGCGGACGGGUGAGUAACACGUGGAUAACCUACCUAUAAGACUGGGAUAACUUCGGGAAACCGGAGCUAAUACCGGAUAAUAUAUUGAACCGCAUGGUUCAAUAGUGAAAGACGGUUGUGCUGGCACUUAUAGAUGGAUCCGCGCCGCAUUAGCUAGUUGGUAAGGUAACGGCUUACCAAGGCAACGAUGCGUAGCCGGCCUGAGAGGGUGAUCGGCAACACUGGAACUGAGACACGGUCCAGACUCCUACGGGAGGCAGCAGUAGGGAAUCUUCCGCAAUGGGCGAAAGCUUGACGGAGCAACGCCGCGUGAGUGAUGAAGGUCUUCGGAUCGUAAAACUCUGUUAUUAGGGAAGAACAAAUGUGUAAGUAACUAUGCACGUCUUGACGGUACCUAAUCAGAAAGCCACGGCUAACUACGUG